rnacentral:rRNA from 1 species
AUUGAACGCUGGCGGCAGGCCUAACACAUGCAAGUCGAACGAGUGGCGGACGGGUGAGUAAUGUCUGGGACACUGCCUGAUGGAGGGGGAUAACUACUGGAAACGGUAGCUAAUACCGCAUACCAUCGGAUGUGCCCAGCUGUGAUUAGCUAGUAGGUUGGGUAAAGGCUCACCUAGGCGACGAUCCCUAGCUGGUCUGAGAGGAUGACCAGCCACACGGGAACUGAGACACGGUCCAGACUCCUACGGGAGGCAGCAGUGGGGAAUAUUGCAAAAUGGGCGCAAGCCUGAUGCAGCCAUGCCGCGUGUAUGAAGAAGGCCUUCGGGUUGUCAAGUACUUUAAGCGGGGAGGCGUUACCCGCAGAAGAAGCACCGGCUAACUCCGUGCCAGCCGCCGCGGUAAUAC